rnacentral:rRNA from 1 species
UGGGGAAUAUUGCACAAUGGGCACAAGCCUGAUGCAGCCAUGCCGCGUGUAUGAAGAAGGCCUUCGGGUUGUAAAGUACUUUCAGCGGGGAGGAAGGGAGUAAAGUUAAUACCUUUGCUCAUUGACGUUACCCGCAGAAGAAGCACCGGCUAACUCCGUGCCAGCAGCCGCGGUAAUACGGAGGGUGCAAGCGUUAAUCGGAAUUACUGGGCGUAAAGCGCACGCAGGCGGUUUGUUAAGUCAGAUGUGAAAUCCCCGGGCUCAACCUGGGAACUGCAUCUGAUACUGACAAGCUUGAGUCUCGUAGAGGGGGGUAGAAUUCCAGGUGUAGCGGUGAAAUGCGUAGAGAUCUGGAGGAAUACCGGUGGCGAAGGCGGCCCCCUGGACGAAGACUGACGCUCAGGUGCGAAAGCGUGGGGAGCAAACAGG